AUUGAACGCUGGCGGCAGGCCUAACACAUGCAAGUCGAACGAGUGGCGGACGGGUGAGUAAUGUCUGGGAAACUGCCUGAUGGAGGGGGAUAACUACUGGAAACGGUAGCUAAUACCGCAUACCAUCGGAUGUGCCCAGAUUGGAUUAGCUAGUAGGUGGGGUAACGGCUCACCUAGGCGACGAUCCCUAGCUGGUCUGAGAGGAUGACCAGCCACACGGGAACUGAGACACGGGCCAGACCCCUACGUGAGGCAGCAGUGGGGAAUAUUGAACAAUGGGCGCAAGACUGAUGCAGCCAUGCCGCGUGUAUGAAGAAGGCCUUCGGGUUGUAAAGGACUUUCAGCGGGGAGGCGUUACCCGCAGAAGAAGCACCGGCUAACUCCGUGCCAGCAGCCGCGGUAAUAC
rnacentral:rRNA from 1 species